AAAUGAUGAUGAUGAUGAUGAUGAUGAUGAUGAUGAUCAUGAUCAUGAUCAUGAUCAUCAUCAUCAUCAUUAUUAUCUAUAGAA
rnacentral:pre_miRNA from 1 species